CGCUUUGAAGGCUGUGCUUGAUCAACUCUAUGACUUCAUCCUGGGAAAGCCUGUUAUCCUGGAGAAGGAAGGGGUACAGAGAAAGAACUACAAGCCUAGAUAAGCAGUAUUUAUCCAAGGUUAAAUAAAGUAGCUUCUGCCAAGAUUUGACCUGAUUGCACCAGCUCUUCGAAAGUAGAGUACAAGCACAAUUUUUGAAUCAGAUAAAGUGAGGAAAAAGUAAGGAAAGAAUGGACUCUGUUUUAAAUUCUAUUCAUUCCCAAAAUAGUUUUCUUUCAUAAUUAAAAAAAAUGACCUAUUUCUUCAUUUCAUGAAUUUGCAUUGGACUCUAAUAAUCCCCAAUUACAAGCAAACUAGGACAGAAGUCUUUAAGGAAUGCGUGGAUACCCAGCAUGAUUUGAGGGAGGAUCAAAACCUUUUACUUCUACUUCCAUAUCCAGGUCAAGAGACCUGGAGCUAAAAUUGCCCUAAAGUAAAAUCUUCAAGUCAAGUUUAAUUCUUGGGGACUCGCCCAAUUUGGGCUCUGUCAAAAAAAAAAAAAAAAAAAAAAAAGCUAGUGGGUCACACACCAUCCACAUAUCUCAACAACUGCGUUAACCUGAGUAUUGCAGCUCCUUUCUCAUGGAUUAUUCUUACCAGAUCUUUGUCCGACUGAACAAGGAGAUGCUUGGAUUCCACUUCAGCAUGAUCAUAGUCUGGAGGCAGGAUCCAGUGCCCAAUUUCCUCCCGAUCCAUCUUCCCAUCUUUGUUGAUAUCUCGAUGUUCCAGGAAUUGUUGACGUUCAUUUGUCACCCAGCUAGGUUCCGGUUCCCCAGUUUCAGGGGAGUAUAUGUCACCUGAUCAAUAAAAAUAAGUGAGAUACCAAAAAUCUGUUAAACCUGCCUCUCUAGCUGCUGGACUAAAGUAGAACCUUUCUUUUAAUCAAGGCAAGUCAAUGAAGGAAUAGGAUAAGAGUGAUAUUGAGUGUCCUUCUGGGCUAAAAAAAGACUUACAGCUCUGUCCCAAACCAGCCUACUUCUUAAUAGGGGGUCAUCCAUUGUCAUUCAGGCAGAAUUCUUAUAUUCUUACCGAGAUAUUCAUCAACUUCUACGAAGCCAUCACCAUUCUUAUCUAUGUCCUCCAGGGUUUCCUGAAAAAGUCAGAAGGGUAACUCUUAAUGGUACAGUAGAUCUUCCCACAGAGAGUUGUGCCAAAAAGAUACCAAAAUCUCAAGAAAUAGUGCCUGAAGUAAAAGGCAUUUUCUGUUCCUAGAUGCUUGGUAGUAUAUUUCUGUUGCAGAACAAGGAAGUCAUGGGAAAUGUGGGCAAGUCAUAAUUGCUUUCUAAGUUUGGGCCUUGGUUACUCAAAGGAGGACCAACAAUGGUUCUGCAGGGUCUCAGAUGGGAUUUUCCCCAGAUUUUUCUGGACUGAGUUCUCCCUUCUCCCUUCUGCAAAGCUGCUGCUCUAACACAAAACCACAGCUGUGGUUUUGUGUGUGCUAUCAUCUUGGAGGAAAUUGGGAAGGACUUCUCCAAGAUUAUACUCAGCUUUGCAUUUGGGAGAAAGGAGAUGCUGAAUGAAACAUAGCAUACUGGACUACUCUCUUAAGCAUUAAGGAGAAAAGACUAAUUUUUCAACUGAAACUCAAAACAGUUUACAUAGCAGACAGAAUAUUAGAGGGUUUGGAUUUUUUUGUCCCUUUUUUAAAAAAACAGGGAGCUGAUUUUAAAUCAGCAUCUCAUUUCAGUUUCUGAAUAGCAGUAGCCACAUUUCAUUCUUGCGUAUCAUAUUGCAAGCAUAAAACAGAUCAUUGCUACCUUUUACCAUAUAAAAAUGAGCUCUGGAUUUUUCAGGAGGAUUAUGCUAGAACAGCGCUACAUCUUAAUUUGGUAAUUACAAAAUCCUUUACAGAGAGAUCCUUUACAUCAUUUGAAAUAUUUUGUAAAGGAAAAAUCUAACAUUUCACAAGAGAGGUAAGGUACAGUUAAAUGAACAGGGAGAAAGAGAAUAUAGUUUAAAUGGAAAUUGCAAGGCAGGAAUAGAAGUUUUAAUAAAAUAAACCCUGAACAGCUGCCAGGGCUGGUGCAAAAUUUCUUACAGAAGUUUCAGCUCAAUUCUUUUAUGAGUCACCCAAUACUAAGUAAUAAAUUUGUUUUCUACCCAUCCAAUAUAUGUAUACCAUCCAUCACAGAAAACAGGAUUCCUUAAUGGCAAGAGGCUGUCACAAAUAUAUCUGUCACUAGUUGGGAAGAUCAAGACAGUGCUCUUCUGAAGCAUGCAAUCAAAUUAUUCUGAUUCAGAUAAUUCUUGGUCUUUGAACUUUGUUUCAACUAGAUAAGCCCCAAGCCCCAAAAUUUCAUAAGUCUACAUGCUAUUUGAAAGUCCUGGUAUAAUUAUAUACCUGAUAUUUUUGAGAGGUUUUGAAGCAAAGCUUCUCUGAUCCUUGCUACUAGUCUGGUUGGCAAGAAUCUAGACUAGUGUUUCUCAAACAUAAUAAUUUGAAGAUUUGUAGAUUUCAAUUCCCAGAAUUCUCCAACUAGCUUGCUGACUAGGAAAUUCUGGUAACUGAAGUCUACACAUCUUCUAGUUUCUUAGUCACCUGACUAAGCAUUGUUUUUUAUAUGGUAUUUGGAUUUACAUGUUAAGUUGAAGAUUAACCCAUAAUACUAUAGCUGGUAGCCACUGAAUGUAUGAAAAAAAAAAAAAGAUAAAGCAAAUCUCACAAGAUCUCUGCAUGCUCACAUUGUGGGCAAUUUUAAUUUUUUAAAGAUACAUGCAUUACUUAUAUAUUAAAAUAUUGUUGCCCACCUGAUACUAUAUAAAAGCAUGUAGUGAUACCCAUCAAGUGAAAAAUUUGUUGAUCUUUAUAUUAAAAGCUGUAAUUGGUUUGGGUUUUGGCUUAGCUUGUUGAGAGUUAUAGAGUUCAAAAAUUAUGGUUUAUGGUUGAGACGUCAUGUGAAUGAGAACACUGGUCAAACUAUAUUAAAAUCAACUAUGGCAAAACAAAGAAUGUGGAUCCAGAUAUAAAUUCACUAAGCAACCAUUUAGUGUUACUUGUAUUCCAUGUAUAAAUAAGUUCUCUGUUUUCAAUAGAAUUUUUCCAGUUCACUCAUUGUUAAGGGUAAAUAAGAUAUAUAACCCAUGAAUUUUAGUAUUUUCAUUUUUAUUGAAUUUUAUAAUCAUUGUUUUGGUUUUUGCAGCCAUAUAAGUAUGAUAAAUAAAGAAAUGGAGAUGAUUCUA